CUCAAUCAUUAUGGCUGACAGAUUAAUAGCUAGGAACCUAUCCAGUGCUUCCAUCAAGUAUAGAUCAGACUUGGAUGUGAUGGAUCUUCUCUAUGCAUGGGGUAAAAGGACCUUAUUUAACAACAAAAACAUGAGCUGAUAAAUAGGAAGCAAAGCUUUCUUAUACACCCAUUCCCCCCGCUGGACUGUACCCUCAUUUACAAUAGCAUGCCUAAAAUUUGAACCACAGACAUCCUUGACAGAAGAUAUACCAUCAGCAGGGACCUUAAGAAUGUCUCCAAGUAGAGCAACAUCCAGAACAAUAUCAACUCUAUUGACUAGUGCACAGAUUUGGUCAGAUUCAAUAGUGAAGAGGUUAGCAUAAAAACUUUGGACCUCAUCUUUAUAGACAUUGGGCACAUCCACUUUGAACAUAUGGACUCACUAUUGAAAUUCAACCAUUUCAAUGAUUUAUCUCAUGACAGGCAUCUAAGAGAUUUUUGGGUCCAAUGUGCGAACCCACAGAACCUCCUAGUACCUCAGUCUUUAUUUGCCGGUCACACUUUCACGUUUCAUUCUUCACAGAAUCAGGUUCCCUCAUAGUUUCCCACUUUCUUUUACCAGACUUUACACUUGACUUAC
rnacentral:lncRNA from 1 species